rnacentral:lncRNA from 1 species
UUUAUGUCUGAAGUGUGUGUAUAAAAAGUCCUAUAUGCGAUGCAAAAGAGAGAAAAUCAAAGUAGGGAAAAGAAAGAAUUAUUGCUCGCACAGGCCCUACCCUACUGCAUACGUAUCUCAAGAAGGAUUGAGAAUCAGAGCACCGUAGCUCGGCUAACCUAUUUUUGUUUGUUUUUUUUUGUGUUUUUUAGAUGAACGACGUUACUACGCAAUCUACCGGAUGCUCGACCUUUGGAGACUUACUCACCUGUAGUAGAAGGAGUUAACGUGUUCUUAGGAGAAGAAAAAUCA